rnacentral:snoRNA from 1 species
ACUGUGAUCUCCUGGUCUAUUGUUAUGAAAAGCAACCCUCUUUGGAAAUGCCUCAUAGAGUAACACUGGUUUUGCUUUGCUCACGGGUCUGUUUCUUAGGCCUGUUGAUAAGCCUGUACAGGACAGCA